UACACACAAGGAGAUCGGAACUAAGAGAAUUGGAGUCACUUGCCCAAGAUCACAUCACUCAUAUGCCUUGGAGCUGGGACUGAAACCCAAAGCCAGCUAUCUACAGAGCCCCAACUUCUAGCCACCAAGAAAAUAAAAAAGCAAUUUUGGGAUCCUCGCCAACAGCUAAUGGUCCCUCUGUACUGUUAGCACACGGGGACAGAAGAGCUUUGUCAUGUCAUCACCAAGACUGGCUUUAUGGAGAGAGUCGUUAAUCAAGGCAAGCAGGACACUUUGCAAAUAUCCAGGCCUGCGGAAGAUGACCAUAUCAAUUGAAGACACUUGGGUCUGGGAGAAUCUGGAUGUGACUCAGCCUUCCCCUGCAAGUGACUGGGCUUCAGCAAUGACACUACUUGAAGGACUUCUCGUUUAGGCUUUAUCUUUGUAUUUGCAUGCCUUGUUGAAGAUGGGCUUCUGGUCCCACAGUUGCAGGUUCAACUGCACACCUGACCUUUGGUCUGGAGGGACAUUUGCCACUCCCAGCUCUGUGGACAACCCACCACUCUUGCCUUUCCAGGACUGUGUUCACACCCUGUUGGAAGGGAGUUUAAUAAAUGCAGGGAAGAAUUUGUA